UUCAUCACUGUGUCUUUCUCUCUUUAUAUUCACAAGUUUUUUUCCUGUGAAGGUGAAUGUGAAUGUGAAUGUGUUGAUGCUAUGGGGACUUGUGUGUCAACUCAUAAAAGAGGGAGGUUGAGUUCUACCUCCAUGGGAAAGACAAGGAAGAGAAGGAUUAGUGGACUCAAGAGAAGAGUGUGUAAAGGAUCAGUGGACAAGGUUGAUAUUCCAGGAUUGGUUGUCAACAACACUUUCCAAGGCUUAGGCAAAUUCAUUCUUUUCAAAUCCUCCUUUUGGAGUAUGAAUGAAAGUGGUAUUGAAAUAUGGGGUAUUUGUAAUACUCAUGUCUCUGUGUUUCGUUGCGCGUAACUGCAGUACCCGG
rnacentral:lncRNA from 1 species